rnacentral:rRNA from 1 species
AAACCAGCACCUCAAGUGGUCAGGAGGAUUACUGGGCCUAAAGCAUCCGUAGCCUGUUCUAUAAGUUUCCGGUUAAAUCCAUUAGCUCAACUAAUGGGCCGCCGAAAAUACUGUAGAACUAGGGAGUGGGAGAGGUAGACGGUAUUCGGUAGGAAGGGGUAAAAUCCUUUGAUCUAUUGAGGACCACCUGUGGCGAAGGCGGUCUACCAGAACACGUUCGACGGUGAGGGAUGAAAGCUGGGGGAGCAAACCGGAUUAGAAACCCCGGUAGUCC